GGAUCCUUCACGAGCCCUCAUUCUGGGCACUCAGUGGGUUCUUUCAAUGCUGGAAUCAUUGAAGACAAAGCCAGACAGGAUUUCAGGCUUCUCAAAGGACACCUGGCUCAACUGAACGACUAGCUUAUCACUCUGUAGGUCA